rnacentral:tRNA from 1 species
GGGCGGAUAGUUCAGUUGGCUAGAACGCCUCGUUUACACCGAGGAGGUCGUAGGUUCGACUCCUACUCCGCCCA